AUGAUAUCCAAAGGUUUAGGCUGGGAGAAUCAUGAGCUUGAAUAUGCCCCAAUGCCUAUUGGCUAUGUUGAAUGGGGUACUAAUGUCAUGAAGAAAUAUCAUACCCACCUGAAGGGGAGUGAAGAGGGCGUGGAUUAUGUCUAUGGAGCCAUUUAUUGCUCUUUAGGCGACUAUUCUGUCUCCCCUCCUCUUUUAAGGUCUUUAUCGGAGAAAUGGGAUCCCAACACCAACACGUUUUUGUUCUCGUGUGGCGAGCAUACAAUCACACUUCUUGAUAUGCAUCAGAUCACGGGGUUGCCCCUUGAUGGUGAACCUUAUGAAGAAUAUGUUCCCCUAGCUGAUGAGUUGGAUCCUUUGACUCUUUUGUACCCCAACUUCCUGCCUCGGCUCCUAGAAACUUGGACCAAGCUUGCUGUGGGUGGCAAAGUAGGUUUCAAGGAAUGGUGUGACUUCUUUCACAAUAGUGGAGUAGACUUUGCUACCCAGAGCUUAGAAGACCAGUGCAUGUAUACUGCAGCUUUUCUCGCAAUAUAG
rnacentral:rRNA from 1 species